rnacentral:rRNA from 1 species
GGUUAUACAAUAAAUACAAAUAAAUUAUUUUUGGUAUUUAGUUAUAUUGUUUUUAUUUAAUAGAUAAAAAUUUAUUAAGUGAAAUUUUAUAUUUUUUAUAUUAAUAUUAAUAAAUUAAUAGAAGCUUAUAAAUUUUAUUAUUAAACUAGGAUUAGAUACCCUAUUAUUUUAAUUUUAUAUAAAAAAGUCAGAGUAGUAAGAGUUAUGAUCUUGAAACUCAAAAAAUUUGGCGGUAUUUUAGUCUAUUCAGAGGAACCUGUAAUGUAAUCGAUAGUCCACGUUGUAUCUUACUUAAUUUUGUUUUCAGUUUGUAUAUCGCCGUUAUUUGAAAAUUUUAUAAGAAUAAUAAUUUUCAUAAUUUUUUAUUAAAAAAUAAAUCAGGUCAAGGUGCAGCUUAUAAUUAAGUUUUAUAUGGGUUACAAUAAUUAUAUUUAUACGAAUUAAUUUUUGAAAUAAAAUUAUAAAGG